AUGCGAAGUCAUGAAUCCCUUUCCGUUUGUUCUAUUAUAACUAUAGCCUACAGGCACGUAAACCCAUCAGAUGGCAGUGUUGCCUCGCAGUCCACCACAAUUGCUGAUGAGUUUUCUGAGGUACCAGGAGCAAUGUGGAGACUGGGAAAAACAGGGUUUGCUUGGUCAACCAACAGCAGACCACCAGAUGGCCAGCACAGAAAACAACAGCCCAUCAUAGCAGGGCUGCUCUGUAGUGACCGCCGUCCUGCUGAUCGCGGCGGAGAGAAGAGCAAGAUCCCAACAAGUUUAGGAAGCGUCAGUGACAGCGCAUUGUCUUCCAACAAUACUGCGCAGACAGUGGGCAAAGAGAUGCAGGAGAGCAGAGGGGACGAGGGACAAUGGUGAGGAAGAGACACGCAUGAACAGUUGCUGCUUCUUUUAUGUCGCCCGUCUAGACAGCAAUGUUCCACACCGAAAGACUUUUUUUUUUUUUUUUUGCAAAACAAAUGAAAGCGUGAGGUGUGAAAGUGAUCUGCUCUGAGGAGCUGAGAAACUGUAGAGCAGAUACAAAAAACAUUGAAUUAAAAUAUGAUUCCUUUAGAUGAAACAUUUGAAGAGGUCAGAUGCAAAAACAUCUAAACUUUUCUUUUUACUCAGGCUCUUGUGAGUACAGUAGAUUCAGUCAUUUUAAUUUCAUGUCGAUGAAUGGGGUAUUUUCAUUGCCUUUAAUGUGAAAUACCUUAAAGUAAACAUAAGAGACUGAGAAAAUGCUUGUUUUUAAGGGAAAUUCCAGAUGCCAUUUAGAGGUUUUUGCAUCAGAACUCUUCAUUUGUCUAAGAUAAAUUGAGUUUUUAAAAUAAAAGUACUAGGAUUUAAAUAUAGCUUCAGUCUUUAUUCUCUCUUGAUAUCCUGAUUUCAUUCUCAAAAAAGUUUCUUGUUAUUAUCAGUUAUCAGAAAUAAUUGUAUGUUGAAAUGUGGUAUGUCUAGUAUUUGAGGGGAUGAAUGAAUAAGCAGUACUCAUACCUAAACCAUAAGCACUGUCAAGUCCAAAAGCUGUUUUGCUUACAUAUAGCCUACCUUGCAUGCACUACAUAACAUUUACACCCCAAACGUUUCAUAGAUCCUCCUGAGACCCCCCAUUGGCUUGUUUACUCUGUAGUGGACAUUGCGUUUUCAUGAUUUUUUUUUAUAGCUACUCUGUUAAGUCCAGUUGGACUGUUCAGAGGACAUCCUGGGCUUUCUAGUGAUGUGUCAUUUGAUUGGCUGGCAUGCUAGGAACCACUUCUUACACUGCAUCCAAAAUGGCCGACAUACAAAAAAAAGCACAUUUUAUGGGAAGGAGAGGCAUGUAAAAUUGAGUUUUUUAAAUGUUUUUUUUUUACUAUUAUUAUUACAUAUAUAUUUGUUUAUAUUAAAGUGUCUGGAACAAUACAUUUAGCUUUCAAAGCUGUUAAAUUGUUUGUGUUUCAAAAUAUCAUCCUUUUUUAAAUGUCCACUAUAGUGGACACAGGACCAUCUUAAUGUAAUUAAUGACUGUAUGUUGUAGGAGGCAGAACUGAAGCAGAGAGGACUCUUUAUGAGAUAGUUGAGGGAGACUCUGAUUUAGAGUCUGACAAUUAGAGAAUUAGAGACAAUUGGAGAAUGACGAUCAUUUUUAAAUUGCUUUUAUGUUAAAUUUGUUUUGGAUUAACAUCACUUUUUUGUGUGUGUGUUUUUUUGAGUUCGGCUCUCUUUCAGACUAAACUGUUUCAGAAAUUUCAAUACAAAAGGGAAAAAAAGGCUUUUGUUUUGUUUUUGUUACAUUAAUAUUGGAAUAAUAUCCA
ensembl:lincRNA